CGCGGCCUAUCAGCUUGUUGGUGAGGUAACGGCUCACCAAGGCGACGACGGGUAGCCGGCCUGAGAGGGCGACCGGCCGCACUGGGACUGAGACACGGCCCAGACUCCUACGGGAGGCAGCAGUGGGGAAUAUUGCACAAUGGGCGAAAGCCUGAUGCAGCGACGCCGCGUGAGGGGUGACGGCCUUCGGGUUGUAAACCUCUUUCAGCAGGGAAGAAGCGAGAGUGACGGUACCUGCAGAAGAAGCGCCGGCUAACUACGUGCCAGCAGCCGCGGUAAUACGUAGGGCGCAAGCGUUGUCCGGAAUUAUUGGGCGUAAAGAGCUCGUAGGCGGCUUGUCACGUCGGUUGUGAAAGCCCGGGGCUUAACCCCGGGUCUGCAGUCGAUACGGGCAGGCUAGAGUUCGGUAGGGGAGAUCGGAAUUCCUGGUGUAGCGGUGAAAUGCGCAGAUAUCAGGAGGAACACCGGUGGCGAAGGCGGAUCUCUGGGCCGAUACUGACGCUGAGGGGCGAAAGCGUGGGGGGCGAACAGGAUUAGAUACCCUGGUAGUCCACGCCGUAAACGGUGGGCACUAGGUGUGGGCAACAUUCCACGUUGUCCGUGCCGCAGCUAACGCAUUAAGUGCCCCGCCUGGGGAGUACGG
rnacentral:rRNA from 1 species